rnacentral:rRNA from 1 species
UUCCCGGGCCUUGUACACACCGCCCGUCACACCACGAAAGUCGGCAAUACCCGAAGCCGGUGGCCUAACCCGCAAGGGAGGGAGCCGUCGAAGGUAGGGUCGAUGAUUGGGGGUG